UACGUAGGUGGCAAGCGUUGUCCGGAUUUACUGGGCGUAAAGAGCGCGCAGGCGGUCGUUCAAGUCGCGUGUGAAAGCCCCCGGCUCAACUGGGGAGGGUCACGCGAUACUGAUCGACUCGAAGGCAGGAGAGGGUAGUGGAAUUCCCGGUGUAGUGGUGAAAUGCGUAGAUAUCGGGAGGAACAUCAGUGGCGAAGGCGGCUGCCUGGCCCAAUACUGACACUCAGGUGCGACAGCGUGGGGAGCAAACAGG
rnacentral:rRNA from 1 species